GCAGUGCUGAUCUCACCUGACACCUGAAGACAGGAGGACUUUGGGAGGUUUCCAUCUGCAGACACAAAGAUGGCACCGAUUGUCCUUCACAUGCCAUGCACUGCUUUAGGUGCUAGGAUCUUCCCUGAGUGACCAUAUUGGACUAAAUUCCACCUGUACAACUACAAAACAUGUUUCCAUGAGACCCACAGCAAAGUUAAAUUUAAGAAGCAUUGAUACUGGACAUUUUACCCCAGCAGGCUGAAGCAGGACAAUGGAUAGUGAGGCACUGAACUGGGGUGUGAGAAGCUCAGACAGCUGCCAUCUUUCCUCAGGAGCCCUCCUACAAGGCCAUGACGAUAAACCAACUCUGCUUUUUGGCAACCCAUCUCGCCCUCCUGGACACGCUUGUGGCCGGUAUACCAGGGUGUGAAACUAGCAACCAGGCCCAGGGCAAGCCCAGGCUCAUCUCUCCUCUCUGGAGGUGGGGGAUGACAGGAGUCCACGGAAGGGGUUGGGUUGCUUGGGUGGGGUGAGUGCUGCCAACCAUCUCUGGAUACUUUCUAGGAAGUGGGCAGUUUAAUACCAUGAACAAUUUUUGACUCUCAAAAGAUAUUACUAUGUGUUCAGCUUUUAAUCAAAAGUAUCUCAACUAACUCCAGCAGACAAGGGACCCCAUCACUGAAACUCUUCCUUCCUGGACACAACCUUCUGUGUACACCUCAGUGUAGUGUAAUCACAAGAUCCACUUUUGUUCUCUGUCCUCGUUCAUGCCCAGGCUUCCUGAGACUCUUGGAAAUUACUGUCUAUCUGUAAGACAUGAUAUGAGUCUAGGGUGGAAACCUAGAUAGCAUCUGGAUGGGACUGGACUCCAGAACAUGCCAUCGGGUGCUUAGAGGGUUAGAACUAUCAAUUCCCAGUCCCUCUGGAGAAAGGAGAGGCCACUGAUACAGAGUUCAGUCACCAAUGACCAAUGAUCCUAUCAAAUUGCCUACCUCCAAUCUUCAAUUAAAAUCCAUAAACACUUCAUCAGAGAGCCUCAGGGGAAGUAAGGCAUCAAGAGAUUGUGAUGGGAGGAGAGUCCUGAGAGAGUUUGGAAGCUCAGCAGCCCUAACUACCCAUUUGCCCUACAAUUUCUCAGUCCCUGUGUUUUUUGCUUUAAAACAAUUGGGGACAGUAAGUAAAAGGCUUUCCUGAGUUCAGUGAGUGGUUCCAAUAAGUUUCUGAAUAUGGAAGUUUGGUCACGACACCUCUGAGAUUAUAGCCAAUUGAUCCCAGGUGUAAGGGACAGAAGGACUUGUGUUGGACACUUGAAGUGUGGGCUGACCUAAGGACCAAGCCCUCAAUGUCUGUGGUCUGGGUCACCUCUAUGGAUUUAGAGUCAGAGUCAAUUUACUCCUGAGAACUGAUUGCUGUUGGUAGAAAACUCACAUAUUUCUAGUCAGAGAAAAAACCCAGACUCAUUCAUGUCUACCAUUUGUCUCUGGAGUGAGGGUCAGGGCCCUGGAACUAUACUAUGUGGGGCCAAGCACUCAGAACCCCACUCCUGUUCUCUGCAUUUUCAGAAUAUCUGGCAGAAUCAGGUACUUGAUACAUUUUACACAUUUGUCAUCAAAGGUGUCCAUUUUCUACCAAUUUGGUUUAGUCAAAAAGACUCCUUUGCCUACAUUUCCUCAUCACCCCUCUAAAAAACUUAUCUGUCAAAUAUAAUCAUUUCUCUGUUAUGAAAUUAAUGAGAAUGCUGAGAGUCAGUUGAUCUUCCCUCCAGAGGCAACUGUAAGAAGUGUUUCUGGGACUUUGUUCAAGACAGCAGGCUGUUCUAUCCAGAUGGUACAACAUUAGUCAAGUGAAGGUGAUUCACUUUGCUGUCCUGUUUGAGUAUUAUUUCAUUAUCCUAUCAGGAUACAGGGUGUUAGGGGAGACACAAAAUUAUAUAGACAGGCCUCAUUAACAAAUAGAUUAACAGGGAGUUUAUUAUAUCCAGUCUCUUCAAUAACUGUGCACUUGGCAUGAGUAUGGAAUGCAAGGAAUCAA